rnacentral:lncRNA from 1 species
GCGUAAAAAUCAAUCGUAAAUCUAUAUCUAUCUAUUUUAUGAGUGUGUGUGAUGGUGCUAAAGCGAUUUUAGAGUUUUGUUUGUCAAUAUCAAUUAUUAUUAACGUAAUAAUAUUAUUUUUACAAUACGUAGGUACAACAGUACAACUACCUUAACCCAAGCACCAUUUUGUUCGGCCCACUCUGAUUCAAAUACAGUCUCUGCUGAAGAACCCGAAUCCACCAGCCAAUCAGUUAACGCAGAACUGGACGAAGAACCUUUUGGUUCAGAUGACUCUAUUAAAGAUGCAGACUAUCUUUCCAGUGACCAAUCAGAUAAUGGUGGCUUAGACAAUCACGUAGUACUUAGAAAUACUAAUCAAAUACCAAAAGAUAGGUCAGUUGAACCAAAAAAUAAAAAGAAAAGAUGUCCCACUUUUUGGAAAAAAAUGUUCGCAGAGACAAUAAGAAUUCGGGGCUUCCAUAUAUAAACUCAAAAGGAAAUCACGUUCCAGGCAGGUUCUUAGGUGAAUCAUGCAACAAUUCUUGCAGGAUUAAAUGCAAAACUCGUAUUAGCCAGGAAGAAAGGAUAAAUAUUUUUACAUCAUUUUGGAAUCUUGCAAAUGUUGAUAGGCAACAAGAUUUCCUAAAUAAUUUGGUAGAGGUUAUCGAUUGUAAAAGAAGAACAACUGGCACUAACAACUUAAGAAGAUCCAAAUCUAUGAAAUUUUAUCUGUGCAUUAAGGAUUCUAGAAUAAAUGUAUGUAGAACAAUGCUACUUAAUACCCUUGGUGUUAAAAAGGGAUUUCUGAAUUUUGCCAUUAAAAAACGUGUCCCAAAUAGUAACACCACAGAAAAAGAUAAGAGAGGCGGUUAUGGUACCUCUAAAAUAUCAGAAGAUGCAGUAAAUUUUUUAAAACAACAUAUUCAGAAAUUUCCUACAGUCUCUUCUCAUUACUGCAGAAAAGACUCAAAAAAAAUGUACUUGGAUCAAAAAUUGAACCUAAAGCAGAUGCACAGGUUAUACCAAAAAAAUUGUGCCAAAGAAAAUAUGGAAUGUUAAAGGAGUCAUUCUAUCGCCAUAUUUUUAAUUCUCAUUUUAAUCUAUCAUUCCAUAGGCCUCGAAAGGAUCAAUGUCCAACAUGUACAGCGUAUGAAUCUGCUAACACAGAAAUCAAAGUAAAUUUGCUGCAAAACUAUGAAGAUCACAUUAAAAAUAAGGAAAGAGCCAGACAGGAAAAAAAUUUGGAUAAGGAUGCAGCAAAGGAAAAUCCUAAAGAAAUGCAUUCCGCCAACUUUGAUUUGCAACAAGUAUUGUAUGUGCCAACAGAUCCCACUAACCCCAUUCUUUUUUACAAAACGAAGUUAGCCAUAUACAAUUUCACUAUUUUUAACUGUGGAGAUAGUUCUGGAAAAUGCUACAUGUGGUCUGAAGUAGAAGGUUCACGUGGCCCAUGCGAAAUAGCAUCCUGUUUAUUCCAGCAGCUCAAAAGUCUUUCUACAUCCAUUCAAAAUGUAAGGCUCUUUAGUGACACAUGUGGAGACCAAAAUAAAAAUCAAUUUGUUGCCGCUAUGUUUAUUGAUGCCGUACAAGUUUUACCGAUAGAGGUCAUUGACCAAAAAUUCCUGGUUUCAGGACACAGCCAAAUGGAAUGCGAUUCAAUGCACGCAAGAAUUGAAAUUGCAUCCAAAAAUGUCCCAGUUUAUUUGCCGCAUGAAUGCGUAACCAUUGCUCGGAAUGCAAAAAAAUGACCCUAAGUGCAAAGUAUUUCAAAAAAAAGACAUAGCUUUUGUUGACUGGAAAACCCUGGCAAAGCUAAUUAUGAUCAACCGAAACAACGAUCAAGAUGGGAAUGUGGUUAAUUGGCAUCAUAUUAAGUGGAUUAGGUAUGAAAAGGCAUUUUUUCACCUUUUACAAUGAAAAUUAAAACAGACUUUGAUGAAGAUUUUCGCAGUAUAAUGAUUCUUCCAUACAGAGGAAGACGAGUGACAGUUGCUUCCAUGGAAAAAUAUUUCAAACCCUUACACGAGGAAAAGAGGAAAAUUUCAGCAUUAAAGCUGAAACAUUUAAAAGUAAUUUGCAAUUCUGGAAGUGUCCCAGAUGACUGCCGGCUCUUUUUUACAAGUUUGCUAAGUAGUGACGAAACCAUUGAUGAGGAUGAAACGGUGGUUCCAGAUGUAAAUGACCCUGAGGGCGAAGACUUUGUCUUACAAUAAUGUUAUUAAUAAUUAUUUUUAUCUUUCAUUAUUGUGUUUAGAAUUAGUUCUUUAAGUUUAUAGCUUUUCGCAUCACUACAUACAACUUUGAGAAAGUAUUAUGUGCCAAAUAUGACUAUCUGCAUUUUUCCUGUUUAAAUUAGUUAUUAUUUAUGUUUUUCGAA